rnacentral:rRNA from 1 species
CUACGGGUGGCAGCAGUGGGGAAUAUUGCACAAUGGAGGAAACUCUGAUGCAGCAACGCCGCGUGGAGGAUGACACUUUUCGGAGCGUAAACUCCUUUUAUAUAGGAAGAAGAUGACGGUACUAUAUGAAUAAGCGCCGGCUAACUCCGUGCCAGCAGCCGCGGUAAUACGGAGGGCGCAAGCGUUACUCGGAAUCACUGGGCGUAAAGAGCGUGUAGGCGGAUUAAAAAGUCAGAAGAGAAAUCCUAUAGCUUAACUAUAGAACUGCUUCUGAAACUCUUAAUCUAGAAUAUGGGAGAGGUAGAUGGAAUUGCUGGUGUAGGGGUAAAAUCCGUAGAGAUCAGAAGGAAUACCGAUUGCGAAGGCGAUCUACUAGAACAUUAUUGACGCUGAGACGCGAAAGCGUGGGGAGCAAACAGGAUUAGAUACCCUAGUAGUC